rnacentral:rRNA from 1 species
GAUGAACGCUGGCGGCACGCUUAACACAUGCAAGUCGAACGAAGUGGCGAACGGCUGAGUAAAACGUGGGCAACCUGCCCUUCAGUUCGGAAUAGCUACGGGAAACCGUGGGUAAUACCGGAUGCUGAAGGAUGGGCCCGCGGCCUGGUAGCUUGGUGGUGAGGUAACGGGUCACCAAGGCAGUAAUGGGUAUCCGGGUUGAGAGACCGACCGGCCAGAGUGGGACUGAGACACUGCCCAGACUCCGACGGGGGGCAGCAGUGGGGAAUCUUGCGCAAUGGGCGAAAGCCUGACGCAGCGAUGCCGCGUGCGGGAUGAAGGCCUUCGGGUCGUAAACCGCUUUCAGCAGGGACGCGGUACCUGCAGAAGAAGCCCCGGCUAACUACGUGUCAGCAGCCGCGGUAAUAC